UACGUAGGGUGCAAGCGUUGUCCGGAAUUAUUGGGCGUAAAGGGCUCGUAGGCGGUCCAUCGCGUCGGGAGUGAAAAGCUGGGGCUUAACCCCAGUCCUGCUUCCGAUACGGGUGGACUAGAGGUAUGCAGGGGAGAACGGAAUUCCUGGUGUAGCGGUGAAAUGCGCAGAUAUCAGGAGGAACACCAAUUGCGAAGGCAGCUCGCUGGGACGUUACUGACGCUGAGACGCGAAAGCGUGGGGAGCAAACAGG
rnacentral:rRNA from 1 species